rnacentral:tRNA from 1 species
CCGAGCGUAGUUCAGUGGUAAAACAUCUCCUUGCCAAGGAGAAGAUACUGGUUUGAUUCCCGUCGCUCGCC